UGGAGAGUUUGAUCCUGGCUCAGAGUUAACGCUGGCGGCGUGCCUAACACAUGCAAGUCGAACGGAGCGUACCAGAAUAUCGGGCGCUUAGUGGCAGACGGGUGAGUAAUACUUAAGCAAUUUGCCCUCAAAUGGGAGAUAACUCGGCGAAAGCCGGACUAAUACCCCAUAUAAUCCUCCGGAGGCAUCAUCGGGGGAUGAAAGGCCCGCAAGGGUCGUUUGAGGAGAAGCUUGAGACCUAUCAGCUAGUUGGCGGUGUAANNGAAUAAGCCACGGCUAACUACGUGCCAGCAGCCGCGGUAAUACGUAGGUGGCGAGCGUUACUCGGAUUUACUAGGCGUAAAGCGUGUGUAGGCGGGAGCUUAAGUUCGUUGUUAAAUUCCAGGGCUUAACCCUGGACUGUCGACGAAUACUGGGCUUCUUGAGUGAGGUAGGGGAAACUGGAAUUCCAGGUGUAGCGGUGAAAUGCGUAGAUAUCUGGAAGAACGCCAAAGGCGAAGGCAGGUUACUGGGCCGCAAUUGACGCUGAGACACGAAAGCUAGGGGAGCAAACAGGAUUAGAUACCCUGGUAGUCCUAGCCGUAAACGAUGUAGACCAGGUGUGGGGGGUAUCGACCCCUCCCGCGCCGACGCUAACGCAUUAAGUCUACCGCCUGGGGAGUACGACCGCAAGGUUAAAACUCAAAGGAAUUGACGGGUCCCCGCACAAGCAGCGGAGCGUGUGGUUUAAUUCGAUGUUACACGAAGAACCUUACCCGGGUUUGACAUACAAGUGGUAGUGAAACGAA
rnacentral:rRNA from 1 species